GCAGACAAACUCUGUUCUUUGCUGUUCACUCCAGCCUGGAACUUUUUAUGUCUGCUAUAUAAAUAUGCAGAAUGUAACAUUCACUAGCUUUCUAAAAGGCUGGUGUCGGUAUGUUCUGCUACAUUACA